AUUUUACCUUUUUCAUUAAAGAAAAUUGAUAUUUUUCUCUAUAUACGUGAGAAUUCAACAAAAAUAAUUUUAAUUUAUACCCUAAUAUAAAAGGUGAGACGAUACCACUCCCUGGGAUGGUGAAUGGUUCCCCACGCCGCCUGCUGCCAUUCCUAGACUCACUGGUUAAAUUGUUUUCUUCCUUUCAACUCUUAAUUCGAAUCUUUUGUUUUUCUAAAAUGCCAGGCACCUUGGGCUCCAGCACUGCAUGCUAACAAGAUGAGACAGACUGUUUAAGAAACAGACAACCAGUCAAACUGCAAGAAAGGCCCAUAAGAGCUGUUCAAUACUGGCACAGCCUUGUUCAGUCCUGCAAACAGAAUGUACAAAUGACUACUGCAAAUGAGCAAAUCAGUUUCAACUCAGCCGGAUACCAAUAACAUUUCAUUUGGAAUGCCCCAACUCUUUUAAUUUUGAACUAUAAUGUAUUGAGCCCUAUGGUAGA
rnacentral:misc_RNA from 1 species